GACGAAGGAUGCAAGCGUUAUCCGGAUUUAUUGGGUUUAAAGGGAGCGUAGGUGGUCUUAUAAGUCAGUGGUGAAAUCUCUGGGCUUAACCCAGAAAUUGCCAUUGAUACUGUAUGACUUGAGUAUAGUUGCCGUUGGCGGAAUAUGACAUGUAGUGGUGAAAUACAUAGAGAUGUCAUAGAACACCGAUUGCGAAGGCAGCUAACGAAACUAUAACUGACACUGAGGCUCGAAAGUGCGGGGAUCAAACAGG
rnacentral:rRNA from 1 species